GAUGAACGCUAGCGAUAGGCUUAACACAUGCAAGUCGAGGGGCAGCAUGGUCUUAGCUUGCUAAGACCGAUGGCGACCGGCGCACGGGUGCGUAACGCGUAUGCAACUUGCCUCACAGAGGGGGAUAACCCGUCGAAAGACGGACCAAUACCGCGCACACUUGGGAUAGGGCAUCCUGACCCAAGGAAACGAAAUUCGCUGUGAGAGAGGCAUGCGUGCCAUUAGCUAGUUGGUGAGGUAACGGCUCACUAAGGCGACGAUGGGUAGGGGAACGGAGAGGGUGAACCCCCAGACGGGUACUGGGACACGGACCAGUCUCCUACGGGAGGCAGCAGUAAGGAAGAUUGAGGAAUGGGCGAGAGCCUGAACCAGCCAAGUCGCGUGAAGGAUGGCUGUCUUAGGGAUGGUAAACUUCUUUUAUACGGGAGUAACAAGAGUCACGUGUGGCUCCCUGCAUGUACCGGAUGAAUAAGCAUCGGCUAACUCCGUG
rnacentral:rRNA from 1 species